CAAGGCUUGACAUAUACGAGAACGGGCCAGAAAUGGUCAACUCUUUGGACACUCGUAAACAGGUGGUGCAUGGUUGUCGUCAGCUCGUGUCGUGAGAUGUUGGGUUAAGUCCCGCAACGAGCGCAACCCUCGUUCUAUGUUGCCAGCACGUAACGGUGGGAACUCAUGGGAUACUGCCGGGGUCAACUCGGAGGAAGGUGGGGAUGACGUCAAAUCAUCAUGCCCCUUAUGUCUUGGGCUUCACGCAUGCUACAAUGGCCGGUACAAUGGGCUGCAAUACCGUGAGGUGGAGCGAAUCCCAAAAAGCCGGUCCCAGUUCGGAUUGAGGUCUGUAACUCGACCUCAUGAAGUCGGAGUCGCUAGUAAUCGCAGAUCAGCAACGCUGCGGUGAAUACGUUCCC
rnacentral:rRNA from 1 species